GCCGCGGUGAUGAAAUGGCAGACAUGCAGCGUUCAGAACGCUGUGGAGGUAACUCCGUGAGAGUUCAAAUCUCUCCCGCGGCA
rnacentral:tRNA from 1 species